AAAAAGGGUGAAUCGGCUGGGGAACAGAGCAAAUCGGCUGGUUGAAAGCUGGUUUAAGAAUUUACCGUUUUAAAACGAAUUUCUUCGUGCUGCGCUUGUAAAGCCGUUGUGUUUUGAUCAGUGGCCUGUACCGUAGGUUCAUCCGAUGAAGAGUACUCCACAACAAUCGGCACGGUGCUCGGACCAGCUCCCUGGGAAGAAAUCGGUUGUCGAGAAACGCUUGGUGUGCCGAUGGUCUGCGUCGAGGAAUCGGUUAAAUAUGUUAUGCAAAU
rnacentral:lncRNA from 1 species